UCCUAUGGCCUAGUGGUUAGAGCGUUCGCCCCGGAUGCGGGAGGUCGCGGGUUCGAACUCCUGCUAGGUCAU